rnacentral:tRNA from 1 species
GGGAUUGUGGCUCAGUGGCAGAGCUCUUGCCUAGCAUGCAUGAGGCACUGGGUUUGAUUCUCAGCACCA